AUUGAACGCUGGCGGCGUGCUUAACACAUGCAAGUCGAGCGAGAAAGCUCUCUUCGGAGAGUGAGUAGAGCGGCGCACGGGAGAGUAACGCGUGGAUGAUCUGCCCCGAAGAUUGGGAUAACAGUUGGAAACGACUGCUAAUACCAAAUGUGCUACAUAUUUAACUUUAUGUGGGAAAGAUGGCCUCUAUUUAUAAGCUAUCGCUUCGGGAUGAGUCCGCGUCUCAUUAGCUUGUUGGUGGGGUAACGGCCUACCAAGGCAACGAUGAGUAGCUGGUCUGAGAGGAUGAUCAGCCUCACUGGGACUGAAACACGGCCCAGACUCCUACGGGAGCAGCAGUGGGAAUAUGCGCAAGGGGGAAAACCUGACGCAGCGACGCCGCGUGUAGGAAGAAGGCUUU
rnacentral:rRNA from 1 species